AACCUGGUUGAUCCUGCCAGUAGUCAUAUGCUUGUCUCAAAGAUUAAGCCAUGCACGUGUAAGAUCAUUUUGUGGUGCAAAUCAUACCAAUAAUCUGCGGAUGGCUCAGUAUAACAGUUAUAAACCUAGCUAUCAACUUUUCAGAACGGAUAACACCGUCAAAUGCGGUGAUAAUACGUGUCCAGAACGAGUCUAACGACUCAGACGAUCGAGGGCCUGGAAACGCCCUGGAUCAGCAGUCUGACAGCUCUAAGCUGUCAGACGUGGACUACCAUCUGGUAGCUUGGAAGAGGUAUUUCUAACUUAUCAGGUACGUUGUUUCAGUAAGGGUGAAACAAGCCAAUUACGAGUACGGCGAAUCAGUGUUCGAUUCCGGGGAGGGAGCCUGAGGAAAUGGCUACUACAUCUAAGGAUGGCAGCAGGCGCGGAAAAUUACCCAAUACAAAUUGUGUGAGGUAGUGACAAGACAUAACGACCUUACGUUUUCGCAAUGGAAGGGUACCGUGUUAAAAGCGGUUUGGAGUGAUUCUAGUUCAAAACUCUAUUAGAGUAACAAUUGGAGGACAAGUCUGGUGCCAGCACCCGCGGUAAUUCCAGCUCCAAAAGCAUAUACUAAAAUUGCUGUAGUCAAAACGCUCGUAGUUGAUAUAAGGAUGGUGUCUGAACAACCUGUCUGACCUUUUCUGUAUGCCAGGUUUGGUAACAGACCAAAGCGUGCUUAAAAAUGAACCUGUCAAGGACAGGAACAGGGGGUUAGUCCUCUGGCGUAUCCAACCAGUGCUUUGAUGUCAGUCUUCUUCCAUCAAGCAUUGGGCGUAGGUAAGACGGAUGCAUUUCCGAUGUAAACCGUGAACAAAUUAGUGUGCUCCAAACAAGCAGCGUGAAUGUGUGCUUCGGUACAUAUUUGAGCUUGAAUAAUUUAGCAUGGUACUAUGUUUCCCUUUCUCGGAAGGGAAUCAGAUAACAGAAGGGAUGGAGGACUCUGGUAUUGCGCGUCUAGAGGUGAAAUUCCGAUAUUUUCGCAAGACGAACGGAGGCGCAAGCGGUCGUGUCCAUUGUAUCUUCAUUGAUCAGGAACGAGAGUCAGGGGAUCGAAGAUGAUUAGAUACCGUCGUAGUCCUGACUGUAAACGAUGCCAACUCAACUUCAAGUGUGAUACGAUAUUAGGGAUCUUCUUGGAAUUGACGGGAAACCAUUAAGUUAUUGGGUUCUGGGGGGAGUAUGGUCGCAAGGCUGAAACUUAAAGGAAUUGACGGAAAGACACCACCAGGAGUGGAGUUUGCGGCUUAAUUCGACUCAACGCGGGAAAACUCACAGGACAGGACAGUGUCGAGAUUGACAGGUGAAAGAGUCCUUUCUUGAUUUACUGGUUGGUGGUGCAUGGUCGUUCUUAGUUCGUGGAGUGAUCUGUCUACUUAAUUGUGCCAACGAACGAGACCUUGACCUAUUAGUUAGGCACCUGUUGACGAUUUCGGUCGUCAUGGGUUUUGGUUAUACUGAAAUCAGGUUAUUCCUUCGGGAUACUUCUUAAAGGGACAAGACGACGUUUAAUAACGCAGCGUAAGGAAGAGCAAGGCAAUAACAGGUCUGUGAUGCCCUUAGAUGCCCUGGGCGGCACGCGUACUACAAUGUUAUUAACAACGAGCAAAAACAGUUUCUGAUUCCGCACCUUAAAGGUGUAGGUAAUCUUGUCAAUUGAUUACAAGACAGGGAUAGAUGUUUGUAAAUACAUCUUGAACGAGGAAUUCCUAGUAAGCACAAGUCAUGAUCUUGCAUUGAUUACGUCCCUGUCUUUUGUACACACCGCCCGUCGCUCCUACCGAUGGAAUGUUGAAAUGAACCUAAUGGAUAGGUUGAUAUUAGUUAAAUUUUGUCAUUUGUAGGAAGGAGAAGUCGUAACAAGGUCUUCGUAGGUGAAUCA
rnacentral:rRNA from 1 species